GUUGGUGGCCACACCGUCCUGUGAGUGCCCAAUCUGGUUUGAUCUCAGAAGCUAAACAGGGCCAGGCCUGGUUAGUACUUGGAUGGGAGACUACCUUGGUAGACCAGGGAAUGUUAAAC
rnacentral:rRNA from 12 species